rnacentral:lncRNA from 1 species
GCAAAUAUUGUAGUUAGUGAGUGAUGAUCACUCCAACCUUAUCCCUACCAUAUUGGUUUUAGGGGUAGGACUAAGAGUGUCUUUGGAAGAAAAACAAAAAACGAAAACAAAACCCUGUGGUUUAGAAGGAUGCUGAGGCCUUAGGCUGUGGGCCUGGAACAGCCAUGUGAGUGAACUGACCCAUCUCAUACUUUGAAUCAAGCAUGCAUUCCUUUUCUCAUUGUGCAAGUGUCCCCAGUUUUCCCUCAGUGUUUAGUUUUCGGCCUUUGAAAUUUUAUUAUAUUUUGCUCUCCCUAACAUCUG